AGAGUUGAUCAUGGCUCAGAACGAACGCUGGCGGCAGGCCUAACACAUGCAAGUCGAGCGCGCCCUUCGGGGUGAGCGGCGGACGGGUUAGUAACGCGUGGGAACGUACCCUUUGGUAGGGAAUAGCCACUGGAAACGGUGAGUAAUACCCUAUGAGCCCUUCGGGGGAAAGAUUUAUCGCCAAAGGAUCGGCCCGCGUUAGAUUAGGUAGUUGGUGGGGUAAUGGCCUACCAAGCCUACGAUCUAUAGCUGGUUUUAGAGGAUGAUCAGCAACACUGGGACUGAGACACGGCCCAGACUCCUACGGGAGGCAGCAGUGGGGAAUCUUGGACAAUGGGGGCAACCCUGAAUCCAGCCAUGCCGCGUGAGUGAAGAAGGCCUUAGGGUCGUAAAGCUCUUUCGCCUGUGAAGAUAAUGACGGUGGCAGGUAAAGAAACCCCGGCUAACUCCGUGCCAGCAGCCGC
rnacentral:rRNA from 1 species